GAUGAACUCUAGCUACAGGCUUAACACAUGCAAGUCGAGGGGCAGCAUGAUUGAAGCUUGCUUCAAUUGAUGGCGACCGGCGCACGGGUGAGUAACACGUAUCCAACCUUCCGUACACUCAGGGAUAGCCUUUCGAAAGAAAGAUUAAUACCUGAUGGUAUCUUAAGCACACAUGUAAUUAAGAUUAAAGAUUUAUCGGUGUACGAUGGGGAUGCGUUCCAUUAGGUAGUAGGCGGGGUAACGGCCCACCUAGCCUACGAUGGAUAGGGGUUCUGAGAGGAAGGUCCCCCACAUUGGAACUGAGACACGGUCCAAACUCCUACGGGAGGCAGCAGUGAGGAAUAUUGGUCAAUGGACGAGAGUCUGAACCAGCCAAGUAGCGUGAAGGAUGAAGGUCCUACGGAUUGUAAACUUCUUUUAUAAGGGAAUAAAACUUCCCACGUGUGGGAGCUUGUAUGUACCUUAUGAAUAAGCAUCGGCUAACUCCGUGCCAGCAGCCGCGGUAAUACGGAGGAUGCGAGCGUUAUCCGGAUUUAUUGGGUUUAAAGGGAGCGCAGACGGGUCGUUAAGUCAGCUGUGAAAGUUUGGGGCUCAACCUUAAAAUUGCAGUUGAUACUGGCGUCCUUGAGUGCGGUUGAGGUGUGCGGAAUUCGUGGUGUAGCGGUGAAAUGCUUAGAUAUCACGAAGAACUCCGAUUGCGAAGGCAGCACACUAAGCCGUAACUGACGUUCAUGCUCGAAAGUGUGGGUAUCAAACAGGAUUAGAUACCCUGGUAGUCCACACGGUAAAC
rnacentral:rRNA from 1 species